ACCUUUAGAAGCGAUUCCUUCCAAAUGAAGCAAAGCAGGUCAGUGUGAGAAAAAGUGCCAAAGAGAUUUACUGAAACCAACAUAGAAAUGGCCCUUUUUAGAUCCCAAAGUUGCUUCUGAUCCUUUUCUGAAAAGGAGAACACUGAAGACUGCUUGAAGACCGUUUUUGAGAAAUUACUCCUAACAGGAGAAAACUAAGUGCCUUCAUCAUUCUGAUCUGUAAAUGAAGAUGUCCUACUUCUGUUGCCAGUUGGUGGAGGUGAUUUGGAAAGGACCUACACAGAGAUCAUAUAAUAAUCUUCAACAAGUAUCAGUCCAAGACACCUGUAAUUGCAAUAGCAUUUUUUUCUGUCAGCAAUUAGAAACAGAUGUGUUCCUCAGCCUGUGAGGGGCAGAGUGCAGCUAUUCUCAAUCUGACAGAUGACAUCAGUAAACCAACCAUUCAUUUGAAAGAAGGAGGACUACAAACACCUCUUCAGAAAAAGCGUCACACCUGAGAAAUUUUACAUCCAGAUUUAAAUAGUCUUAGGUUAGUAAAUUUAGUCUCAGACACUGCAAGCCAAAGUACAAAUGUCAAGUUCUAUGUCACAAAGCAAGAGACAUGAAUAGAGCAGAGAGGGCAUAGUGAGUGAAACCCCUCUACAACAGAGUAUAGGAAGAAAAGAGCAAAAUUAAUGCAAACACAAGUUUCACAAAACUAAGAAAUUAAAAGUGUUAGGAAAAUUUGGUUUGAAAAUGUUUCAACAGAAAGUAAUCCAUUUUAAGGAUCUGAAUUACUAAAAGCAAAGUAACAAAACCAUAUCUCAACACUUUCUGCAAGACUCAGGUACAUUACAGGGCUCAAAACCUUCUCGUUCCUUCCUCGUUUACAGAAUCUGUUUUCAAAUAACACAUGAAGAGAAGACUAACCUAUUUUACUUCUAAGAUUAAAUUCAACUAUAAUUUCCCCCUAGUGUUACUUGAGAGCGACUGAAAAAUAAGAAGUACUCCAAGACAACUAUUUUACACAAAAAUAAAACAACAGAUGUUGUAAUUUUAUGCUUCUGCCUUUCUAUUCGUGUCAACCCUUGAAUGAUGUGAUC